AAGGGCACAUGGUGGAUGCCUUGGCAUCAAGAGCCGAUGAAGGACGUUGGAGCCUGCGAUAAGCCCUGGGGAGUUGGCAACCAAGCUGUGAUACGGGGGUGUCCGAAUGGGGAAACCCGG
rnacentral:rRNA from 1 species